CCCUUAGAUGGUCUGGGCGGCACGCGCGCUACAAUGAUGCAUUCAAAAAGUCUUCUGACCUUAGAAGGUUGGGUAUUCUCCAAAGUGCAUCGUGAUGGGAAUAGUUUAUUGCAAUUUUUAAUCUUGAACGGGGAAUUCCUAGUAAGUACAGGUCAUCAACUUGUGUUGAUUACGUCCCUGCCCUUUGUGCACACCGCCCGUCGCUCCUACUGAUUGAGUGUCUCGGUGAAUUCUUUGAUCUUCUGUCGAUUCAGUUCACUGAUCCGACGGUGGAAAGUUGAAUGAACUUCGUCACUUAGAGGAAGGAGAAGUCGUAACA
rnacentral:rRNA from 1 species